UACAUUUUGGUGUAUAGUGCACAAAAACUUUUGAUGUUUAAAGAUAACAGUUCGAGUCUGUUAAAUGUAA
rnacentral:tRNA from 1 species